rnacentral:rRNA from 1 species
AUUGAACGCUGGCGGCAGGCCUAACACAUGCAAGUCGAGCGGAGCGGCGGACGGGUGAGUAAUGCCUAGGAAUCUGCAUGGUAGUGGGGGAUAACGUCCGGAAACGGGCGCUAAUACCGCAUACUAUCAGAUGAGCCUAGGUCGGAUUAGCUAGUUGGUGGGGGAAAGGCCUACCAAGGCGACGAUCCGUAACUGGUCUGAGAGGAUGAUCAGUCACACGGGAUGUGAUGCAAGGUGCAGACUCCGAAGGGGGGCAGCAGUGGGUAAUAUUGGACAAUGGGCGAAAGGCUGAUCCAGCAAGGCCGGGUGUGUGAAGAAGGUAUUAGGAUUGUAAAGCAAUUUAAGUUGUGAGGCGUUACCAACAGAAUAAGCACCGGCUAAAUUCGUGCCAGCAGCCGCGGUAAUAC